rnacentral:rRNA from 1 species
CACGUAGUUAGCCGUGGCUUAUUCAUUCGGUACCGUCAUUUGUUUCGUCCCGAAUAAAAGAAGUUUACAACCCGAGGGCCUUCUUCCUUCACGCGGCGUUGCUGGGUCAGGCUUGCGCCCAUUGCCCAAUAUUCCCCACUGCUGCCUCCCGUAGGAGUCUGGGCCGUGUCUCAGUCCCAAUGUGGCCGGCCAACCUCUCAGUCCGGCUACUGAUCGUCGACUUGGUGGGCCGUUACCCCGCCAACUAUCUAAUCAGACGCGAGGCCAUCUUAGAGCGAUAAAUCUUUGGCAACCAAAGCCAUGCGACUUAGUUGCAUUAUGCGGUAUUAGCAGCUAUUUCUAACUGUUAUUCCCCACUCCAAGGCAGGUUCCUCACGCGUUACUCACCCGUCCGCCACUAGGUAUUCCUAUCAAUUGGCCGAAGCCUCUGUCAAGGGUACCCCGUUCGACUUGCAUGUGUUAAGCACGCCGCCAGCGUUCAUCCUGAGCCAGGAUCAAACUCU